UGUGUCAUACGAGACUGCCGGUAAAAGCCGGAGGAAGGUGAGGAUGAUGUCAAGUCAGCAUGACCUUUAUAUCCAGGGCUACACACACGCUACAAUGGUCUGUACAAUGGGUAGCCAAGCCGCGAGGCGGAGCCAAUCCUGAAAAGCAAGGCCUCAGUUCAGAUUGCAGUCUGCAACUCGACUGCAUGAAGCCGGAGUUGCUAGUAACCGCAGGUCAGCAAUACUGCGGUGAAUACGUUCCCGGGUCUU
rnacentral:rRNA from 1 species